GAUGAACGCUGGCGGCGUGCCUAAUACAUGCAAGUCGAACGAGGUGCUUUUGUAGCAAUACGAAAGUAUCCUAGUGGCGAACGGGUGAGUAACACGUUGGUGACCUGCCCCAAAGUGUGGGAUAACAGUCCGAAAGGACUGCUAAUACCGCAUGUGGUCAUGGGGUUUAGAAACCUGUGUCUAAAGCAGCAAUGCGCUUUUGGAGGGGCCUGCGUCCCAUCAGCUAGUUGGUAGGGUAACGGCCUACCAAGGCUACGACGGGUAGGGGACCUUAGAGGGUGGCCCCCCACAAUGGAACUGAAACACGGUCCAUACACCUACGGGUGGCAGCAGUAGGGAAUAUUGCACAAUGGGCGAAAGCCUGAUGCAGCAACGCCGCGUGUGCGAAGAAGGCCUUCGUGUCGUAAAGCACUUUUCUGAGAGAUGGGACAGGACAGUAUCUCAGGAAUAAGUCUCGGCUAACUACGUGCCAGCCGCCGCAGUAA
rnacentral:rRNA from 1 species